GCUGGGCGGCGAGGGAAGGGACGGGCGGAGGAAGUGGACGAGAGGGUGUCGCCUCUGAAGCCCAGGGACAUGUCACCUGGUGCCACUGACCACUCCUGGAUCUGCCCCAGAACCUCUGGAAACGAGGUAAGUGUUGGGGACGGAAUGGGACUCCUUCGUCUGUGGCAACAGAAACUGAAGACUCAUCAUGGCGACGUGAGGCCCAGCUCAUCUUGCAAACUUGGGAGAGUCUUACGUUAAGCUGACCCAGAAGCAUAUAGGAAACAGUCACCACUUCUGCAUUCUUUUCAUGAUGUCAGACAAGCAAGAGCCACAGCGCAGAAGCACCAGCACAUCUCCAGGGAGACCACGACGACGUUACCUUGCUGCACACCUGUUCCUGAGGCAACACAGGCGACUGUUGCAUUUGGACAUCUCUGCCUUCUCCUCUCAGCCCCUUUUUGCUGAGAUUCCUGGCACUUGUCCAGAACCAGGUGAAACCUCAGCUCUGUGAUCUUCAAAGCCAGCGUGCAGCUGACGGGGGCAGAGGACCCACACCAGGAAGGCAAGCGGCUGUGUCCAUGGUGGUGACAGGGGGACACUGAUCACCUAUUUUUCAAAUGAGUCUCAUCGAUGGAGCUGCCCACAGCAUGUGGCCUUGUGAGGCUGGCGGUGCUUCCAGCACGAUGCAGACAGCAGCCUGGGUAAGGAAGCCCUCGGACGGGCAGACACGUGAUCCCACGCCCUGGAGGUCAGGGCCCUCAGCAGCGCCCUGGGGCCGGUGAUGACCGCGCUGGCCAAUUCUUGGAACUGAAGACCCCAGGCCCAGGGCGGGGCGCCCUCCAAUUCAGAACUGAACACAGGAAAAUACUCGCCCUCCUGCCACAGGCACAGCUCCUACCCCCACAGCUGUGCUGAGCUUCUCAUGGUCAACCAGCUGCCCCAACUGCAGAAAAGCUUUGCCGGGCUCUAAGUGAGUCAUUAGAUCCUGGUGUCUACACUGACUGUGGGUUUAAAGCUCGUCUGACGCAGUCCUUAUGUUGUGACCCAGCCCACACGCCUCCCCCAUGAAUCCACAAUCACUGAAAAAGAAGUUCUGAAAUUUUCUCCUCGUCUCACCUGGGAGGGGUGCUGGUAUUGGCCCCCCCAUCCCGUCUCGUCACGGACCAAACACUUAGCUGGGCGAGACCCACAGGCUGAUCUCCCAGCCACGGAGGGGGGCACGCCUGCAGUGUGGUGACACAGGCCGCCGCGCGGCUGGCCUCUGAGCACACGCAGAGUGGGGGCACCGACACACGUCCAGGACGGGGCAGCAAUGGGACCCACAGGUGCCCGGCUCGGAGCCCACGGCGGCCCACGUGUCAUUUGCUCAGGGCUCUGCGUCGCCUUCCUCCAGGGUUAAUGUGCAUCUUGGGUCCUUCCAAGAACCAGGGGUGCCCGUGCUAGGUCCCCCUGAAGCGUAAGGGAGGCAUGGGGGCGGCUGACUACACCCCAAAUUAGUGUUUCAUGGAGGUUGGGGUGGGGGGUCGACACAUGACUUUCCCAGGAAAGCCCUUUAGGAAUAACUUCAGUCAGCUGCAAUGACCUCUGACGGAUCUGUGGCACGCUCUCGCCAACGCCACCACCACCCACAUGCCCACCCCGGAUAAACCAUCCCAGGACGCUGCGGGUUUCCUAACUUCCUUCCACGGGAUACGCUCGGCCAGCCUGGCCCG